rnacentral:rRNA from 1 species
AUUCAUAUGCUUGUCUCAAAGAUUAAGCCAUGCAGGUGCAAGUACGAUCGAUACAAAGAGAAACUGCGAAUGGCUCAUUAGAUCAGUUAUAAUUUUCUGGAUCGUACGAAUCCUACGUGGAUAACUGUGGCAAUUCUAGAGCUAAUACAUGCAACGAAGCUCCGAUCUCCGGUCGGAGCGCUUUUAUUAGUUGAAACCACCGAGCCUCGUGCUCGUCGAUGGUGACUCUGGAUAACGCUGCUGAUCGCUAGGUCUGUGACCAGCGACAAAUCCAAAAAGUAUCUGCCUUAUCAGCUAGUAGGUGGUCGACCUGACCACCUAGGCUACCACGGGUAGCGGGGAAUCAUGGGUUUGAUUCCGGAGAGGGAGCAUGAGAAACGGCUACCACGUCCAAGGAAGGCAGCAGGCACGCAACUUACCCAUUCCCGACACGGGGAGGUAGUGACGAAAAAUACCAAUACGGGACUCUGUCGAGGCUCCGGCAUUGGAAUGAGUAUACUUUAAAUCCUUUGCCAAGGAUCAAUUGGAGGGCAAGCCUGGUGCCAGCAGCCGCGGUAAUUCCAGCUCCGAUGGCAUAUAUUAAAGUUGCUGUAGUUAAAAGGCUCGUAGUUGGAUCUCAGCCGCAGAAACGAGGUGCACUUGACGGUGCAUCCUUGUGACUGUACUACAGCAGCCGUGUGCGCCGAGGUGGUCUUCACUGACCGCUUACGGUGUCCUGGCGUCGUUUACUUUGAAAAAAAUAGAGUGUUCACGGCGGUCCAUUCUUAUGGCCGCAUAAAGUUGCAUGGAAUAAUGAAAGAUGACCUCGGCUCAUUUUGUUGGCUUCGAUGAGUCCGAGGUAAUGACUAAUAAGAGCGGCCGGGGGGCAUUCGUAUUACGACGG